AAUAUUGGACAAUGGGGGCAACCCUGAUCCAGCCAUGCCGCGCGUGUGAAGAAGGUCUUCGGAUUGUACAGCACUUUAAGUUGGGAGGAAGGGCUUUAGGCUACUACCUUGAAGUUUUGAUGUUCACAACAGAAUACUCACGGACGACUUCUGUGCCAUCAUCCGCCGUAAUACAGGGGGUGCAAGCGUUAAUCGGAAUUACUGGGAGUAAAGCACGCGUAGGUGGUUCAGUAAGAUGGGUGUGAAAUCCCCGGGCUUAACCUGGGAACUGCUUUCAUAACUGCUGAGCUAGAGUACGGUAGAGGGUAGUGGAAUUUCCUGUGUAGCGGUGAAAUGCGUAGAUAUAGGAAGGAACACCAGUGGCGAAGGCGACUACCUGGACUGAUACUGACACUGAGGUGCGAAAGCGUGGGGAGCAAAC
rnacentral:rRNA from 1 species